rnacentral:rRNA from 1 species
UUGCUUAGUCUACAGUACGCGUGUGAGACGUACCAGUAAAGGUGACUCCUGGCUCAGAAUAAGCGGAAACGUGAUAAACAUAGGCUUACCUGGGUAAAGUGGAGGACCCCUUCCGAAAGGAAGAUUAAUACCGCAUAUUAUCGAAUUGCCGCAUGUGGGAUCGAUUAAAGGAGCAAUUCGCUCUCAGAUGGACCCGCGACGAAUUAGCUAGUUGGUGAGGUAACGGCUCACCUAGGCGACGAUGCGUAGCCGACCUGAGAGGGCGAUCGGCCACAUUGGAACUGAAACUCGCCCCAUACUCCUACGGCAGGCAGCAGUCGGGAUAUUGCGCAAUGGAGGAAACUCUGACGCAGCACCGCCGCGUGAGUGAUGACGGCCUCCUGAUUGUAAAGCUCUGUCUCCAGGGACGAUAAUGACGGUUACCUGAGGGGGAACCACGCUUAACUACGUGCCACAGGCCGCGUAUAUACGUAGGGGCCAGCGGUAGUCGCCAUUUUCUGGGGCGUAACGUAAGCGUGCGUAGGCGGAUACUUAAGUGGGAUGUGAAAUCCCGGCGGUUCAACUCCGGACCUGCAUUCCAAACUGGGUGUCUAGAGUGCAGGAGAGGAAAGGGGAAUUCCUAGUGUAGCGGUGAAAUGCGUAGAGAUUAGGAAGAACACCAGUGGCGAAGGCGCCUUUCUGGACUGUAACUGACGCUGAGGCAUGAAAGCGUGGGGAGCAAACAGGAUUAGAUACCCUGGUAGUCCACGCCGUAAACGAUGAGUACUAGGUGUCGGGGUUUCAAUACUUCGGUGCCGCAGUUAACACAUUAAGUACUCCGCCUGGGGAGUACGAUCGCAAGAUUAAAACUCAAAGGAAUUGACGGGGGCCCGCACAAGUAGCGGAGCAUGUGGUUUAAUUCGACGCAACGCGAAGAACCUUACCUGGGCUUGACAUCCUCAGAAGUCCGUGGAAACACUGAUGUGCUCUUCGGAGAACUUACACACAGGGGGUGCAUGUUUGUCGUCAUCUCGUGUCGAGAGAUGUUUGUUUUAAGUCCCGCAGCGAGCGCAACCUUUGUUGUUAUUUGCUACUAUUGAGUUGAGCACUCUAUCGAGAGUGUCUUGGGUAACCAGGGAGGAAGGGGGGGAUUAACAUCAAAUCAUCCUUGCCCCUUAUGCUCUGGGGCUACACACGUGCUACAAUGGCUGGAUACAGAAGAGACGCAGGACCCGUGGAGGGGGAGAAAUUCCUAUAAAACCCGAUCUGAGUUCGGGAUUGCAAGGCUGAAACUUCGCUGACUGAAGGCUGCAACUCGCCUACAUGAAGCCGGAGUUGCUGGUAAUCGCGAAUCAGAAUGUCGCGGUGAAUAAGUUGUACGGUCUUACUACGCACCGGUCGUCACAGUUACAGUGUCAGCUAUAACUCGUAACACAGGUAACCUGUAAACGUGACAACGUACUCGUAGAGUCGACAGUCUAAGG